UACGGAGGGUGCAAGCGUUAUCCGGAUUCACUGGGUUUAAAGGGUGUGUAGGCGGAUCUUUUAAGUCAGUGGUGAAAUCUCCAGGCUCAACCUGGAAACUGCCAUUGAUACUAUUGGUCUUGAAUUCUGUUGAGGUGGGCGGAAUACAUCAUGUAGCGGUGAAAUGCUUAGAUAUGAUGUAGAACACCGAUUGCGAAGGCAGCUCACUAAGCAGCGAUUGACGCUGAGGCACGAAAAGCGUGGGG
rnacentral:rRNA from 1 species